rnacentral:rRNA from 1 species
UUGAACGCUGGCGGCAUGCCUUACACAUGCAAGUCGAACGGUAGAGGGGCAACCCUUGAGAGUGGCGAACGGGUGAGUAAUGCAUCGGAACGUGCCCAGUCGUGGGGGAUAACGCAGCGAAAGCUGUGCUAAUACCGCAUGUGAUCUGUGGAUGAAAGCAGGGGACCGCAAGGCCUCGUGCGAUUGGAGCGGCCGAUGUCAGAUUAGCUAGUUGGUAGGGUAAAAGCCUACCAAGGCGACGAUCUGUAGCUG